GAUGAACGCUAGCGGCAGGCUUAAUACAUGCAAGUCGAGGGGCAGCGCGGGUAGCAAUACCUGGCGGCGACCGGCAAACGGGUGCGGAACACGUACGCAACCUUCCCAAAACUGGUGAAUAGCCCUCCGAAAGGAGGAUUAAUACACCGUACCAUAACGAAGAGGCAUCUCUUUGUUAUUAUAGCCGCAAGGCGGUUUUUGGAUGGGCGUGCGCCUGAUUAGGUAGUUGGCGGGGUAACGGCCCACCAAGCCUGCGAUCAGUAACUGGUGUGAGAGCACGACCAGUCACACGGGCACUGAGACACGGGCCCGACUCCUACGGGAGGCAGCAGUAAGGAAUAUUGGUCAAUGGACGCAAGUCUGAACCAGCCAUGCCGCGUGAAGGAUGAAGGUCCUCUGGAUUGUAAACUUCUUUUAUCUGGGACGAAAAAGGGCUUUCUAGCUCACUUGACGGUACCAGAGGAAUAAGCACCGG
rnacentral:rRNA from 1 species